CGAACUCUGGUAUUGAUUGGUGCUUGCUCAUGAUUUACAUUUGAGUGAGUGGCGAACUGGUGAGUAACACGUGGGAAACCUGCCCAGAAGCGGGGGAUAACACCUGGAAACAGAUGCUAAUACCGCAUAACAACUUGGACCGCAUGGUCCGAGUUUGAAAGAUGGCUUCGGCUAUCACUUUUGGAUGGUCCCGCGGCGUAUUAGCUAGAUGGUGGGGUAACGGCUCACCAUGGCAAUGAUACGUAGCCGACCUGAGAGGGUAAUCGGCCACAUUGGGACUGAGACACGGCCCAAACUCCUACGGGAGGCAGCAGUAGGGAAUCUUCCACAAUGGACGAAAGUCUGAUGGAGCAACGCCGCGUGAGUGAAGAAGGGUUUCGGCUCGUAAAACUCUGUUGUUAAAGAAGAACAUAUCUGAGAGUAACUGUUCAGGUAUUGACGGUAUUUAACCAGAAAGCCACGGCUAACUACGUGCCAGCAGCCGCGGUAAUACGUAGGUGGCAAGCGUUGUCCGGAUUUAUUGGGCGUAAAGCGAGCGCAGGCGGUUUUUUAAGUCUGAUGUGAAAGCCUUCGGCUCAACCGAAGAAGUGCAUCGGAAACUGGGAAACUUGAGUGCAGAAGAGGACAGUGGAACUCCAUGUGUAGCGGUGAAAUGCGUAGAUAUAUGGAAGAACACCAGUGGCGAAGGCGGCUGUCUGGUCUGUAACUGACGCUGAGGCUCGAAAGUAUGGGUAGCAAACAGGAUUAGAUACCCUGGUAGUCCAUACCGUAAACGAUGAAUGCUAAGUGUUGGAGGGUUUCCGCCCUUCAGUGCUGCAGCUAACGCAUUAAGCAUUCCGCCUGGGGAGUACGGCCGCAAGGCUGAAACUCAAAGGAAUUGACGGGGGCCCGCACAAGCGGUGGAGCAUGUGGUUUAAUUCGAAGCUACGCGAAGAACCUUACCAGGUCUUGACAUACUAUGCAAAUCUAAGAGAUUAGACGUUCCCUUCGGGGACAUGGAUACAGGUGGUGCAUGGUUGUCGUCAGCUCGUGUCGUGAGAUGUUGGGUUAAGUCCCGCAACGAGCGCAACCCUUAUUAUCAGUUGCCAGCAUUAAGUUGGGCACUCUGGUGAGACUGCCGGUGACAAACCGGAGGAAGGUGGGGAUGACGUCAAAUCAUCAUGCCCCUUAUGACCUGGGCUACACACGUGCUACAAUGGAUGGUACAACGAGUUGCGAACUCGCGAGAGUAAGCUAAUCUCUUAAAGCCAUUCUCAGUUCGGAUUGUAGGCUGCAACUCGCCUACAUGAAGUCGGAAUCGCUAGUAAUCGCGGAUCAGCAUGCCGCGGUGAAUACGUUCCCGGGCCUUGUACACACCGCCCGUCACACCAUGAGAGUUUGUAACACCCAAAGUCGGUGG
rnacentral:rRNA from 2 species